rnacentral:rRNA from 1 species
AACGUAGGCCACAAGCGUUGUCCGGAAUUACUGGGUGUAAAGGGAGCGCAGGCGGGAAGACAAGUUGGAAGUGAAAUCUAUGGGCUCAACCCAUAAACUGCUUUCAAAACUGUUUUUCUUGAGUAGUGCAGAGGUAGGCGGAAUUCCCGGUGUAGCGGUGGAAUGCGUAGAUAUCGGGAGGAACACCAGUGGCGAAGGCGGCCUACUGGGCACCAACUGACGCUGAGGCUCGAAAGUGUGGGUAGCAAACAGG